GGGGAUGUAGCUCAGCUGGGAGAGCACCUGCUUUGCAAGCAGGGGGUCGCCGGUUCGAAUCCGGUCAUCUCCACCA
rnacentral:tRNA from 1 species